rnacentral:rRNA from 1 species
UUACAAAUUGAGGCGGGCUGGACCUCUCGGGGUUACAGCCUUGCUGAAUUAUUCACCCUUGUCUUUUGCGUACUUCUUGUUUCCUUGGUGGGUUCGCCCACCACUAGGACAAACAUAAACCUUUUGUAAUUGCAAUCAGCGUCAGUAACAAAUUAAUAAUUACAACUUUCAACAACGGAUCUCUUGGUUCUGGCAUCGAUGAAGAACGCAGCGAAAUGCGAUAAGUAGUGUGAAUUGCAGAAUUCAGUGAAUCAUCGAAUCUUUGAACGCACAUUGCGCCCUUUGGUAUUCCAAAGGGCAUGCCUGUUCGAGCGUCAUUUGUACCCUCAAGCUUUGCUUGGUGUUGGGCGUCUUGUCUCUAGCUUUGCUGGAGACUCGCCUUAAAGUAAUUGGCAGCCGGCCUACUGGUUUCGGAGCGCAGCACAAGUCGCACUCUCUAUCAGCAAAGGUCUAGCAUCCAUUAAGCCUUUUUUUUCAACUUUUGACCUCGGAUCAGGUAGGGAUACCCGCUGAACUUAAGCAUAUCAA